rnacentral:rRNA from 1 species
UACGGGAGUGGCAAGCGUUAUCCGGAAUUAUUGGGCGUAAAGCGUCCGCAGGCGGUCUUGUAAGUCUGUCGUUAAAGCGUGGAGCUUAACUCCAUUUCGGCGGUGGAAACUACAAGACUAGAGUGUGGUAGGGGCAGAGGGAAUUCCCGGUGUAGCGGUGAAAUGCGUAGAUAUCGGGAAGAACACCAGUGGCGAAGGCGCUCUGCUGGGCCAUAACUGACGCUCAUGGACGAAAGCCAGGGGAGCGAAAGGG